GUGAAUCAUCGAAUUUUUGAACGCAAAUUGCACUUUCUGGUAUUCCGGAAAGUAUGCCUGUUUGAGGGUCAGUAAAAUAAAAAUCGGUGUUGUUGCUGCAUUUCGUGGGGACGCGUCGGAAUGGAGCUGUUUUACUUUUGGGUAAGGGAGCUAAAAUUUUGCAUGAUUUUCGAACGUAUAUAAAUUGCUUACGUAUGUUUGUGCUUCUGAAUAUUUUAUUAGGAUCGUUCAUGCUCAUGAUAC
rnacentral:misc_RNA from 1 species